CUUCCUGGGCAGAUUCAUUUGCAGUAUUAGGGCAUAAGAGAUGUGCACACAAGUCUGCUACUUUGGAGUCAACACUUUUGGCUCUUUGCUGAAAUAAGUUACCCAGCAAACAUCAUAACCACUCUAAUUUCUACAACUGUUAACAUUUCAGAAGUGAUGGCAAAGUUGCUGCCACUUCAUUGUCAAGUGGGCCUUGGUGGUGUGCCAAUAUAACCAAUGCUAUAUUUCCAUGCUCUACCCGUGAAAAUGCAAAUUACUCUUCAUGGACAAGGAAAAAUUUGAGAGUUUAGCCUUAACUCGAGAAGACCACCCAUCGUUGUGCUUCAAAGGAGCAUUAGAAGUACGGCAAAAGAAAUAAAUAAUUUCUUUGGCAAUGUUUUCAACAGCUCAUUUGCUUGAGCUGGAGUAUGGAGUCUGACA